AACGAACGCUGGCGGCAUGCCUAACACAUGCAAGUCGAACGAGACCUUCGGGUCUAGUGGCGCACGGGUGCGUAACGCGUGGGAACCUGCCCUUAGGUUCGGAAUAACUCCCCGAAAGGGGUGCUAAUACCGGAUAAUGUCUUCGGACCAAAGAUUGAUCGCCUUUGGAUGGGCCUGCGUUGGAUUAGCUAGUUGGUAGGGUAAAAGCCUACCAAGGCGACGAUCCAUAGCUGGUCUGAGAGGAUGAUCAGCCACACUGGGACUGAGACACGGCCCAGACUCCUACGGGAGGCAGCAGUGGGGAAUAUUGGACAAUGGGCGAAAGCCUGAUCCAGCAAUGCCGCGUGAGUGAUGAAGGCCUUAGGGUUGUAAAGCUCUUUUACCCGGGAUGAUAAUGACAGUACCGGGAGAAUAAGCUCCGGCUAACUCCGUG
rnacentral:rRNA from 1 species